UUUGAUUCUGGCUCCGGGACGACCGCGGCGGCCUUCCUAAUUCAUGCAAGUUGAACGAUGACUUCCUCUGCUUGCAGAGGACUGAAGAGUAGCGAACGGGGUGAGUAACACGUGGGGAAACCUGCCCAUGAGAGGGGGAUAACAUUCGGAAACGAAUGCUAAUACCGCAUAUAACUUUCGACCGCAUGGUCGAGAGUGGAAAGACGGCUUCGGCUGUCGCUCAUGGAUGGCCCCGCGCCGUAUUAGCUAGUUGGUGAGGUAAUGGCUCACCAAAGCUGUGAUACGUAGCCGACCUGAGAGGGUGAUCGGCCACACUGGGACUGAGACACGGCCCAGACUCCUACGGGAGGCAGCAGUAGGGAAUCUUCCACAAUGGGCGAAAGCCUGAUGGAGCAAUGCCGCGUGAAUGAAGAAGGUCUUCGGAUCGUAAAGUUCUGUUAUUAGAGAAGAACAAGUCGAGGAGUAACUGUCUCGACCUUGACGGUACCUAACCAGAAAGUCACGGCUAACUACGUGCCAGCAGCCGCGGUAAUACGUAGGUGACAAGCGUUGUCCGGAAUUAUUGGGCGUAACGGGCUCGCAGGCGGUCUCUUAAGUCUGAUGUGAAAUCCCACGGCUCAACCGUGGAUGGUCAUUGGAAACUGGGAGACUUGAGUACAGAAGAGGAGAGUGGAAUUCCACGUGUAGCGGUGAAAUGCGUAGAGAUGUGGAGGAACACCAGUGGCGAAGGCGACUCUCUGGUCUGUAACUGACGCUGAGGAGCGAAAGCGUGGGUAGCAAACAGGAUUAGAUACCCUGGUAGUCCACGCUGUAAACGAUGAGUGCUAGGUGUUGGAGGGUUUCCGCCCUUCGGUGCCGGAGCUAACG
rnacentral:rRNA from 1 species